CCUAGUCAGAGCUGCUCAAAACAAAGGAUGCUGCUGGCCCUAGCCAUAGGCAACUAGUUUCUUCUGGAUUUCCCAGAUUUCUGGGCCCUGUGAAAGGUGGUGGAAAGUUCUGUGCGUUUGGGUGGAGAAGAUCUUGCUCCUGAGAUGGUCUCUGGAGCCAGAACGGCUAAAUAAUCUCAAUUCGAUGAACUAUUCAUACCAGUCUUCUCUUCGUCGUGGUCAGAGCAGGCCAGUUACCAUGAUGGGUCUUCCUUUGGGCUCCAACCAAAUGGAGCUGUAAUGAGACUCUAUCUCGACUGAGGUACAAGGUUGUUAAAGUGCAGAUGGACUGGAGCAUUACAAAACGUGGCGUGGAAGCAAUGCCUGUCCAGCAGGGGCCCGGCCCUCCACCCCUCCCACUUCUUGGGAAGAUGAGAGUUCAGUCUGUGACAACCACCGCACAGUGAGAAGACCAGGAACGUUCUCCUGGAACAAAACCUCCCCAAGUUCUCGGGGGCCGUGGAGCCCCCCUCCUCUUUCUAUUCACCAUCCAGAACAGCCAAUUUAGCGGGCGGCCGUAUGGCUCCAGCAAAGUCCCUGGGAUCAGUGGCUGUAGGGAAUGGCGGAGCCAGAAGGGAAAAUCAAAGAUGAAGUGAGCAUUUGGAUCUUCCUGAAACGGACUACUCUUCUGCUGAAUGGUUCCGGGAGAUUAGGGGAUGGGGUCUGUUCUUCCUUCCCCCCUGAAUCUGAUGCACCGCUUUCUCUCCUAUGAGGACCUGUAACAUGGCCAGUUAGACACUGGUUUCAGCUGUCAAAAAGUUUUCCACCCGCAGCCGUGCUGGGGCUUUGAAGGUGAUGUCGGGGUGGUGGACAGGAGGGGGUGAGGAAAAGCCAUUUCUGGGACAGACAGAGCUCAAUGUCCAAGACCGGAAGAUGUAUAGGUGGACAUGAGCGGGUGUUUAUUCCAAACAGGAGGGGCUCAAAUGGGAGCAAGAGGGAUGAAGCUUAGAUGUAAAGAGGAACAUGGGUUUUGAAAGUAAGCCAGGAUGCCUUUAAUAAUUGCUAUAAGAAGUACAUUCUAUUCUGUAGUAUAUUUACUGUUCUAAGAACUUUCUUUUACAAUCUCAUUUAAUCCCUCCAACGACCCUACAAAAGAGGUAUGGCUGUUAGAUUUCCAUUUUACAGCUGAGAAAGCUGAGGGUCCGAUAAGUUAAAUAACUUUAUCCAAGGCUAGCAGCUAGAAAGGGACAGAGUCAGAAUUUAGAUCCAGGCAAUCUGAUGCCAGAGCCUGGGCUCCUAACUGCUGCCUUCCAGCUGCCUCCCUGGACAGAGUAGGGAAAUGUUGGAGAUGGUUCUUCCUGGCCAGGUGGGAUACACACCUGGAAGACCAAGAGGUGGGUGAGCGGACUUGGUGGCCUUGUGAGUCUCUGAAGAGUGUGGGAUUCUCAGCGACUGUGAGCUUGGCCUUCUCACUGAUGCGGCUCCCUCCCUCUCUGCCCUUCCCACGCAGUUUCUCCAAGCUCCAUCCAUCCCACGAGCUGGGGGGAGGGCUGAAGUGAGAAGGAGAGGUCCUCCUGAGGCCGAGUCCAGCCCUGGAUGCCUCUGCCCGCAUCUGCUUUGCUCGGGGUGCAGUUGCCUGACUCACAUCAGUUACGCUGGGUCACCAGCUGCCAACUGCGGCCAAGGGGUCAGUCACCUUUUCCAUCCAUCCUCCAUCCUGAUCUGACUUAUCUCGCACAAGGGGUGCCCCCCCGAGCCCGCAGUUUUGGUCCUCCCGGUCUCUUCCUCAGCUUAGUGGGUUUUUUUAUCUUGCCCAGGAGUCCUUGUCAGUUUCGAGAGUCCCCCUCUGACCUUUUAAUAAACAUUUCCUGUGUUAUCAGAAUAUUUCCUAAUUCAUUCCCUUCUGUCCCUGAAAAUCGAAAUCCUAUUUAAUGUCCUUCAUUUUCAUUUAUAAAGACAGAUACAAAAUAAUUAUUUCCUAUCUCUGUGGUUUCUUUAUCUCUUGUCCUAAUAAUGCCUUCGGCAGACGAACAUUUCCCGUCAGUUGAAACAGUGUGUUUGUUUUUUGUUCUUUAAAGAAGAAAAAUAAAAUGCUUUAUUGGGCUUUGUCUCAUCUAUCUCUUCCCUUUCAGGCUUUCUUGGCCCCCUUCCUCUCUUCCUCUCUGUCUCUCCCUGGGUACCUCUCUCUCCUUCUCCAAGUCCCCUCUCCUGCUGCCCAGGCCCUCGCCCAGCCAUGCCCGGCUCCCCUCAUUUUCCUGUUAGUGCUGCAGUCUCUCUGCAGCCUCACAUCUGAAUUUCAUCAGCCCCUGAGCCUGCCUGUAAGCUCAAGUCCCCCAGCUAGUAAAAUUGGUUUGGAUGAGCAGACGCAGUU